GUGGGGAAUAUUGGGCAAUGGGGGAAACCCUGACCCAGCAACGCCGCGUGAGGGAAGAAGGCUUUCGAGUUGUAAACCUCUGUCCUAUGGGAAGAAGAAAGUGACUGUACCAUAGGAGGAAGCUCCGGCUAACUACGUGCCAGCAGCCGCGGUAAUACGUAGGGAGCAAGCGUUGUCCGGAAUUACUGGGCGUAAAGGGUGCGUAGGCGGCGCAGUUAGUCAGAAGUGAAAUAUCGGGGCUUAACCCCGGGGCUGCUUCUGAUACUGCUGUGCUCGAGUGCAGGAGAGGUAAGUGGAAUUCCUAGUGUAGCGGUGAAAUGCGUAGAUAUUAGGAGGAACACCAGUGGCGAAGGCGACUUACUGGACUGUAACUGACGCUGAGGCACGAAAGCGUGGGUAGCAAACAGG
rnacentral:rRNA from 1 species